ensembl:snRNA U6 U6 spliceosomal RNA
GUUUGCUUCAGCAACACACAUAGUAAAAUUGAAACAAUACAGAAAAGAUGAACAGAGUACAGGUCAAGAUGAUAUACACAUUUAUGAGGUAUUUUCCAUUUGU